rnacentral:rRNA from 1 species
GAUGAACGCUGGCGGCGUGCCUAAUACAUGCAAGUCGAGCGAACAGACGAGGAGCUUGCUCCUCUGACGUUAGCGGCGGACGGGUGAGUAACACGUGGAUAACCUACCUAUAAGACUGGGAUAACUUCGGGAAACCGGAGCUAAUACCGGAUAAUAUAUUGAACCGCAUGGUUCAAUAGUGAAAUACGGUUUUUCUGUCACUUAUAGAUUGAUCCGCGCCGCAUUAGCUAGUUGGUAAGGUAACGGCUUACCAAGGCGACGAUGCGUAGCCGACCUGAGAGGGUGAUCGGCCACACUGGAACUGAGACACGGUCCAGACUCCUACGGGAGGCAGCAGUAGGGAAUCUUCCGCAAUGGGCGAAAGCAUGACGGAGCAACGCCGCGUGAGUGAUGAAGGUCUUCGGAUCGUAAAACUCUGUUAUUAGGGAAGAACAAAUGUGUAAGUAACUAUGCACGUCUUGACGGUACCUAAUCAGAAAGCCACGGCUAACUACGUG